UCUAUAUACUAUACACUGAAAAAUAUGUACAAUAUUUAUAUUUAAAAUAAAUGAAAGCCUAGAUAUUUCGCUCUCUGUUGUCUACCUACAGAGUCUUCAUUGGCAUACUAUGCCAGCAGAGCCUAUUGGAGACACCAUGUAAACCAGCAGGAGUUCAGCUGGCAUAGUUACACUACAUUACAGCAUUAGCUAAGAUGACAGAAGCACUCUUCUGUUGGCAUAGUUCUGUCUACACUGGGGGUUUUGCCAACAUAGUUAUGUCAGCUACAGGUGUGAUUUUUUUCACACUCUUAGCCAACUUAACUCCAUUGGCAAACUUUGUAGUGUAGAUGCCGUAGUGAAUAUUGUUAACACUUGUUUGAUUUGGUUUGUUUAUAUUUUUUGUGGGAUUUCUGAAGUUCAUAUAUAGAUUCACUCCUCUUUAUGCAUUAUUAAAUAUUAAACAACUUUUAAAUGUAACAUUAAACUGAUAUUUAUUACAAAAAGAAUAUCAGUAGCAUGAUUCUCACUUAAUAUGAUGUAGCUGGGGAGACAAACACCAGAGGAUUCAGUUUAACGAACUCUAUGGGGAUCAGUUCCCCUCUGCAAAGAUUAAUUUACACACACAAAAAGAAGU